rnacentral:rRNA from 1 species
UACGGAGGGUGCGAGCGUUGUCCGGAUUUAUUGGGUUUAAAGGGUGCGUAGGCGGCCAUUUAAGUCCGGGGUGAAAGCCCGCUGCUCAACAGCGGAACUGCCCUGGAUACUGGAUGGCUUGAGUACAGACGAGGUUGGCGGAAUGGACUGAGUAGCGGUGAAAUGCAUAGAUACAGUCCAGAACCCCGAUUGCGAAGGCAGCUGACUAGGCUGUUACUGACGCUGAGGCACGAAAGCGUGGGGAGCGAACAGG